rnacentral:rRNA from 1 species
AACGAACGUUGGCGGCGUGGAUGAGGCAUGCAAGUCGCGGGAAUGCCCCGCGAGGGGUGGAACCGGCGUAAGGGGCAGUAGGGCGUGGGUACCCACCCCCGGGCCCGGGAUAGCCCGCCGAGAGGCGGGGUAAUACCGGAUGCCCUCGGGAGAGGAAAGGUCCGCCGCCCGGGGCGGGGCCCACGUGGUAUCAGCUAGUCGGUGGGGUGACGGCCCACCGAGGCGUGGACGCCUAGCGGGUGUGAGAGCACGACCCGCGCCACUCGCACUGGGACACUGGCGAGACACCUACGGGUGGCUGCAGUCGAGGAUCUUCGGCAAUGGGCGCAAGCCCGACCGGGCGACGCCGCGUGGGCGACGAAGGCCUUCGGGUUGUAAAGCCCUGUCGAGGGGGAGCAAGCCUUAACCGGCGGAGCGAUCCCUGGAGGAAGCUCGGGCUAAGUUCGUGCCAGCCGCCGCAGUAA